GGCUAGCAUGGCAUAAUGGUUUGAGUAUUAGACUGCAACUAUGGAGACCAGGGUUUGAUUCCCCACUUGGCCA